rnacentral:rRNA from 1 species
ACUGGGACUGAGACACGGCCCAGACUCCUACGGGAGGCAGCAGUAGGGAAUUUUCGGCAAUGGGCGAAAGCCUGACCGAGCAAUGCCGCGUGAAUGAAGAAAUUCUUCGGAAUGUAAAAUUCUGUGGUGAGGGAAGAAAGGUAUUAGAAGGAAAUGGCUAAUAUUUGACGGUACCUUACUAGAAAGCCCCGGCUAACUAUGUGCCAGCAGCCGCGGUAAUACAUAGGGGGCAAGCGUUAUCCGGAAUUAUUGGGCGUAAAGCGUGCGUAGGCGGCCACUUAAGUCUGUCGUGAAAGCCCACAGCUUAACUGUGGAGGGUCGAUGGAAACUGAGAGGCUUGAAUCUAGGAGAGGUAAGUGGAAUUCCAUGUGUAGCGGUAAAAUGCUUAGAUAUAUGGAGGAACACCAGUGGCGAAGGCGGCUUACUGGUCUAGAAUUGACGCUGAUGCACGAAAGCGUGGGUAGCAAACAGGAUUAGAUACCCUGGUAGUCCACGCCGUAAACGAUGAGCACUAAGUGUCGGACGUAAGUUCGGUGCUGAAGUUAACGCAUUAAGUGCUCCGCCUGGGGAGUACGGUCGCAAGACUGAAACUCAAAGGAAUUGACGGGGACUCGCACAAGCGGUGGAGCAUGUGGUUUAAUUCGACGCAACGCGAAAAACCUUACCAGGCCUUGACAUACCGAUGACGUCUUUAGAGAUAGAGAGUUACCUUCGGGUACAUCGGAUACAGGUGGUGCAUGGUUGUCGUCAGCUCGUGUCGUGAGAUGUUGGGUUAAGUCCCGCAACGAGCGCAACCCUUAUCAUUAGUUGCUAACAGUCAGAUGAGCACUCUAAUGAGACUGCCAGCGAAAAGUUGGAGGAAGGUGGGGAUGACGUCAAAUCAUCAUGCCCCUUAUGGCCUGGGCUACACACGUGCUACAAUGGCUGGUACAAAGAGGAGCAAAGCUGUGAAGUGGAGCAAAUCUCAAAAAGCCAGUCUCAGUUCGGAUUGUAGUCUGCAACUCGACUACAUGAAGUUGGAAUCGCUAGUAAUCGUAAAUCAGCAUGUUACGGUGAAUACGUUCUCGAGUCUUGUACACACCGCCCGUCACACCAUGAGAGUUUGUAAUACCCGAAGCCGGUGGCUUAACCGCAAGGAGAGAGCCGUCUAAGGUAGGACAGAUGAUUGGGGUGAAGUCGUAACAAGGUAUCCCUACGAGAACGUGGGGAUG